rnacentral:lncRNA from 1 species
CUCACUGUGUCAGGCAGGCAUCUCUGGAUCCAGCUGGUUUUUGUUUCGCUGAGCUCGGCUUCUUCCUGGAACUUUUUGAAACAACACUCAAGGGUCUCAAAUGGCUGACGUGAUGGUCUGUGACCUGAAGGUUGUUGAAUAGUUGGAGUGUUCUGCAUUCAUGUGGAAGAGGCUAAAGGAUGUUUGAUGAAGCACUAUGGGCUGCCCUGGAAGAGGACUGAAGAAGCAGCUGCAGGGAAUGCUUCAAGACCACAGUGCUCUCCUGCCUUGGAAACACCUUUGCCUUCCUCCGCUUCUCUUUGGCUACCAUGGUCACCCUCCACAUUGCUUUCCUUAACUCUUGGGCAGGCUGGUCUUGAACUCCUGACCUUAGGUGAUCUGCCCGCCUUGGCCUCCCAAUGUGCUGAGAUUAGAGGCAUGAGCCACCGUGCCCAGCUCAAUUAUUUAUAUUUGUAAAAAGUGUAGUGUACUUCAACAGAUUCAAAAUUAGACUAUUAUUUAGAAGUAUAUCAAUUCGCAGCCAGGGCAGUGGCUCACUCCUGUAUUCUCACCACUUUGGGAGGCUGAGGCGGGAGGAUCAUUUGAGCCCAGGAGUUUGACACUAGCCUAGGCAACAUAGUGAGACCCUGACUCUACAAAAAAAUAAACAAAUCAGCCAGGUGUGGUGGUGUGCGCUUGUAGUCCCAGCUACAUGGGAGGCCGAGGUGGGAGGAUUGCAUGAUCCUAGGAAGUGGAGGCUGUAUUGAGCCGUGAUAGUGCCACUGCACUCCAGUCUGGGCGACAGAGU